GCUAAACGCGAAGAACCUUACCAGGGCUUGACAUCCUACUAAUGAAGCAGAGAUGCAUUAAGUGCCCUUCGGGGAAAGUAGAGACAGGUGGUGCAUGGUUGUCGUCAGCUCGUGUCGUGAGGUGUCGGGUUAAGUCCCGCAACGAGCGCAACCCCUAUUGUUAGUUGCUACGCAAGAGCACUCUAGCGAGACUGCCGUUGACAAAACGGAGGAAGGUGGGGACGACGUCAAAUCAUCAUGCCCCUUAUGUCCUGGGCCACACACGUAAUACAAUGGCGGUCAACAGAGGGAUGCUAAGCCGUGAGGUGGAGCGAACCCCUAAAAGCCGUCUCAGUUCGGAUUGCAGGCUGCAACUCGCCUGCAUGAAGUCGGAAUCGCUAGUAAUCGCGGAUCAGAAUGCCGCGGUGAAUACGUUCCCGGGUCUUGUACACACCG
rnacentral:rRNA from 1 species